GUGGGGAAUUUUGGGCAAUGGGCGAAAGCCUGACCCAGCCACGCCGCGUGAGUGAUGAAGGCCUUCGGGUUGUAAAGCUCUGUCGGGAGGGACGAACAAGCCGGGUUAAUCCCCGGAUCUGACGGUACCUCCAAAGGAAGCACCGGCUAACUCUGUGCCAGCAGCCGCGGUAAUACAGAGGGUGCAAGCGUUGUUCGGAAUUAUUGGGCGUAAAGCGCGUGUAGGCGGUCUUAUAAGUCGGGUGUGAAAGCCCUUGGCUUAACCAAGGAAGUGCAUUCGAUACUGUAUGACUUGAGUACCGGAGAGGGUGGUGGAAUUCCCGGUGUAGAGGUGAAAUUCGUAGAGAUCGGGAGGAACACCUGUGGCGAAGGCGGCCACCUGGACGGAUACUGACGCUGAGACGCGAAAGCGUGGGUAGCAAACAGGAUUAGAUACCCCAGUAGUCC
rnacentral:rRNA from 1 species